CGUGGGAUCAUCACUCAAUGAUGUGGGUUGUGUUGUCAUUCUCAAUGAUAAAUCCAUACCUGAGUGGUACACUACGUACUCUACUUGACUUUUAGAGAGGAGGUGUAUGUAAUGGCUGUGCCUCAACAAUGGGCACAACUAGUUGAGAACUAUUUGGUAAAUUCUGGAUGGAUUAUAGAUUUUGAACUUCCUCAAGUUCAACAGACCU
rnacentral:lncRNA from 1 species